rnacentral:tRNA from 2 species
CUCACGUCCGGUUCGGAGGGCGGGGAUAUCCCGACUUGAAAUCGGGGUCCUUUUCGCAUCCGGAAGCGCUGGUUCAAAUCCAGCUCGUGACA